GGCCCAAUGGUCUAGUCGUAUGAUUCGCGCUUCGGGUUGUCCGAGCGUGCGCGAGGUCCCGGGUUCAAUUCCCGGUUGGGCCC
rnacentral:tRNA from 1 species